rnacentral:rRNA from 1 species
GACGUAGGGCGCGAGCGUUGUCCGGAAUUAUUGGGCGUAAAGAGCUCGUAGGCGGUGUGUCGCGUCGGCCGUGAAAACCUGCAGCUUAACUGUGGGCGUGCGGUCGAUACGGGCAUCACUGGAGUUCGGCAGGGGAGACUGGAAUUCCUGGUGUAGCGGUGAAAUGCGCAGAUAUCAGGAGGAACACCAAUGGCGAAGGCAGAUCUCUGGGCCGUAACUGACGCUGAGGAGCGAAAGCGUGGGGAGCGAACAGG